AACAGGAUUAGAUACCCUGGUAGUCCACGCCGUAAACGUUGGGCGCUAAGUGUGGGUCCCAUUCCACGGGGCCCGUGCCGCAGCUAACGCAUUAAGCGCCCCGCCUGGGGAGUACGGCCGCAAGGCUAAAACUCAAAGGAAUUGACGGGGGCCCGCACAAGCGGCGGAGCAUGCGGAUUAAUUCGAUGCAACGCGAAGAACCUUACCAAGGCUUGACAUAUACCGGAAACCUCCAGAGAUGGGGGCCCCGCAAGGUCGGUAUACAGGUGGUGCAUGGUUGUCGUCAGCUCGUGUCGUGAGAUGUUGGGUUAAGUCCCGCAACGAGCGCAACCCUCGUUCUAUGUUGCCAGCACGUGAUGGUGGGGACUCAUAGGAGACUGCCGGGGUCAACUCGGAGGAAGGUGGGGAUGACGUCAAAUCAUCAUGCCCCUUACGUCUUGGGCUUCACGCAUGCUACAAUGGCCGGUACAGAGGGCUGCGAAACCGUGAGGUGGAGCGAAUCCCUUAAAGCUGGUCUCAGUUCGGAUUGGGGUCUGCAACUCGACCCCAUGAAGUCGGAGUCGCUAGUAAUCGCAGAUCAGCAACGCUGCGGUGAAUACGUUCCCGGGCCUUGUACACACCGCCCGUCAAGUCACGAAAGUCGGUAACACCCGAAGCCGGUGGCCCAACCUCUUGUAGGGGGGAGCCGUCGAAGGUGGGACUGGUGAUUGGGACUAAGUCGUAACAAGGUAACC
rnacentral:rRNA from 1 species